rnacentral:misc_RNA from 1 species
GAUGAAGAACGUAGCGAAACGCGAUAAGUAAUGUGAAUUGCAGAAUCCAGUGAAUCAUCGAAUCUUUGAACGCACAUUGCGCCCGCCAGCAUUCUGGCGGGCAUGCCUGUUCGAGCGUCAUUUCAACCCUCGACCUCCCCUUGGGGAGGUCGGCGUUGGGGACCGGCAGCACACCGCCGGCCCUGAAAUGGAGAGGCGGCCCGUCCGCGGCGACCUCUGCGCAGUAAUACAGCUCGCACCGGGACCCCGACGCGGCCACGCCGUAAAACACCCAACUUCUGAACGUUGACCUCGAAUCAGGUAGGACUACCCGCUGAACUUAAGCAUAUCAAUAAGCGGAGGA